UAAAGCUUUGAUAGUUUAUUGAUUAAGAAUGUUUAGCGUCGGUAUAUAGGAAUCGUGUUUAACAUCUUAAUGGGUAAGUAUCAACUAUCGCCCACUACUGAUUGCUGUCUGAAACGCCUUAGGUAGAUAUAUAUACUUCUUUUAUAUUAAUUAUAUUUUCUAUUGUUAACAUUUUAUUUUAUGUUUUAUCUACAUAUAAUGUAAUCUUUUACAUGGUCCAUCCGGAUUUUUUGGAGUUUCAAAAUUUUAAGUUUAGUCGAUUAACGUAGUUGAAACUUUUCUAAAUUAUUUUUCGACUAAAAAUAUGACGUUAACAGAAUUUAAAAAUUCUGUUGAAAGACGAUUAACAAUAGAGAAUCGCUGUUUUCAUGUACAAGAGGAUAAAUCGAAUAAUUUUUUCAGGUUAGAUCUAAAUACGGUUAAUUCAAAAAAUAUACAGCAAAGCUGGAAACCAGGAACAAUUAGAAACGCAUGCGACGAAAUACUCGCGCGAAUGAAUAAAAAUUUUUAUUCGAUCUAAGCCGUACAUUAUUUAUCUUAUCGUCCAUAUAAUUGAAUAUAUGGAUCAGCAUAAAAAUUAAUAUUUCAGUAGAUUAAUGAUUACUACAAUUUACUUAAAGUUCAAUGUGUUUUCAUGAAAUAAAUACAUUGACAAAAAAAUUGAACAUAUAAAAACUUUUGAGAGUGAAUAGGAAAAAAUAAGAAGAAACAAAAAUGAUAAUCCGUAUCCCAGACAUUUCACAAAAUUUUAUUUUGGACACAGCAGUACACGAUGCUACCAGUAUAUUACUCAAAUCGUAUUUGACUUCAAGCGAUUCUUCAUCAUCCUUUACAAAUAUUCAUAUUCAUGCAAAAGAUAGUGAAUUGAUAAAUUCAAAGCAGAACCGUAUAAAAAUAUCUCAAUCUUUUCUUACAAGAAUGGCGACAAUAGCAUGGCAUUUUUUGGACAUUUCAGUUAUUUUUUGCGCAACUACUGAUCAAGACAAAGACAACAAUUAUUGAAAUAACAUCAUAUAGAAUUAAAUUUUGAUAAGAUAUUAGCUAUAUUUUCAAGGUAAAACAAAUAAACAUUUUUAUAUAAA